CCUACGGGGGAGCAGUGAGGAAUAUUGGUCAAUGGGCGGAAGCCUGAACCAGCCAAGUCGCGUGAGGGAAUAAGGCCCUACGGGUCGUAAACCUCUUUUGCCGGGGAGCAAGGGCCGGGACGCGUCCCGGCCCGGAGAGUACCCGGAGAAAAAGCAUCGGCUAACUCCGUGCCAGCAGCCGCGGUAAUACGGAGGAUGCGAGCGUUAUCCGGAUUUAUUGGGUUUAAGGGGUGCGUAGGCGGGCUUUUAAGUCAGCGGUAAAAAUUCGGGGCUCAACCCCGUCCGGCCGUUGAAACUGGGGGCCU
rnacentral:rRNA from 1 species